UCCUGGCUGUAAACGAUGGGUACUAGGUAGUAGAGGAGUAAGUGCUUUUACUGCCGGAGCAAACGCGUUAAGUACCCCGCCUGGGGAGUACGACCGCAAGGUUGAAACUCAAAGGAAUUGACGGGGGCUCACACAAGCGGUGGAGCAUGUGGUUCAAUUCGAAGCAACGCGAAGAACCUUACCAGGAUUUGACAUAUAGGUAGUACUGAUCUGAAAGGUGAAGGACUUGAGCA
rnacentral:rRNA from 1 species